AGACGGGCAGCAGAUAUGCUAGUGUUGAGAGUAUUACUAGCCGUUGCCUCGGUUCAAGCGAUCUCUUUCGAAGAUGCCAUUGGGUCAUACUGCUGUGAGUAGGCACUUUACUGGAGACUAUGUGCAAUAACGUGAUGCAAUGUAUGUCAUGCGCCGUAGUAGCAAUAUACAUAUAUGCCUAUGUAGAACUUUGACGCUGGCUCACUAAGAAAAAACAGAACUGCAAGACAAAAGCCUGACAGGGAUGAGGAAGGCAUCGAGGAAUUUGUCGCCUGCGUCAUAAAAAAUUUCCCGCCGAAGGUGGGCCGUAAAGUCCAGGAACUGAUGGACUUGUUUGACGGAAUGUCAUUUUUUGAUGCUGUUCAGCUAAUGUGCAAGGCAUCGCUGGAUUCUUCUGCGGCGAUG